AAUGAACGCUGGCGGCAUGCCUAACACAUGCAAGUCGAACGAUAACAGGUUAAGCUGACGCGUGGCGAACGGGCGAGUAAUGUAUCGGUACCUGCUCUGUCGUGGACCUUAACUACUGGAAUGAGCAGCUAAUACCGGAUCUGAUCCGAGGGUGUAUGUGGCAGAUCGCAGGACCUCGGUCGAUUGGAGUAGUUGAUAUCAGAAUAGCUAGCUGGGGAGGUAAUGGCUCACUAGGGCGACGAGCUGUAGCUCAUCUCAGAGGAUGACCAGCCACACUGGGACUGAGAAACGGCCCAGACUCCGACGGGAGGCAGCAGUAGGGAAUUUUACGCAAUGGGCGAAAGCCUGAUCCAGCAAUGCCGCGUGAGGGAUGAAGGCCUUCGGGUUGUAAACCGCUGUUGUCAGGGAAGAAAAAAUGCUGACUUAUACCUGGGGCUCAUGACGGUACCUGAAGAAUAAGCACCGGCUAACUACGUG
rnacentral:rRNA from 1 species